ACAGGCAAGAAAGUGCUUACAGAGACACUUCCAGUCUGGGAAUUCAAAAGACACAGCAGACAAGGGUACAAAGAUUUGUUUUCCUACAGCCAAGAAAGUGCUUACAGAGGCAUUUCCAGACUGGGAAUCCAAAAGACACGAUAGACAAACAAUACCCAUCACACACUAACACUCCCAACUUAAAUAAAAUAAUAAUAAUAAAAGGAAAUUCUUUGAAAUAGUCCUUAGACUAUUUCUGGUGGCAGCAACUACCAUAUUAACCGGACAUCUCGAUUAAUAUGUCAUAAACAAUCGUACC
rnacentral:misc_RNA from 1 species